rnacentral:rRNA from 1 species
UACGUAGGGGGCUAGCGUUGUCUGGAUUUAUUGGGCGUAAAGAGCGUGUAGGCGGCCAUGUAGGUCCGGUGUGAAAACUCGAGGCUUAACCUCGAGAUGUCAUCGGAAACCAUUUGGCUAGAGUCCGGAAGAGGAGAGUGGAAUUCCUGGUGUAGCGGUGAAAUGCGCAGAUAUCAGGAAGAACACCAAUGGCGAAAGCAGCUCUCUGGGACGGUACUGACGCUGAGACGCGAAAGCGUGGGGAGCAAACAGG